GGUAGCGUGGCCGAGCGGUCUACAAGGCGCUGGUCGAAGGCACCAGUCUCUUCGCUGAGGGUUCGACCCCACCGCUGCCA